rnacentral:rRNA from 1 species
CCUACGGGUGGCAGCAGUGGGGGAUAUUGCACAAUGGGGGCAACCCUGAUGCAGCGACGCCGCGUGGGUGAAGGAGCGUUUCGGCGCGUAAAGCCCUAUCGGCAGGGAAGAAGGAGGACGGUACCUUACUAACAAGCCCCGGCUAACUACGUACCAGCAGCCGCGGGAAUACGGAGGGGGCCACCGUUAUCCGGAUGUACUGGGUGUAAAGGGGGCGUAGACGGCAGCGCAAGCCAGGAGUGAAAGCCCGGGGCCCAACCCCGUGACUGCUCUUGAAACUGCUCGGCUGGAGUGGAGGAGGGGCAGGCGGAAUGCGUGGUGUAGCGGUGAAAUGCGUAGAUAUCAGGAGGAACACCGGUGGCGAAGGCAGCAUGCUGGACUGCGACUGACGUUGAGGCCCGAAAGCGUGGGGAGCAAACAGGAUUAGAUACCCUGGUAGUC